UAAAAUGCCAUCUUGCUACGAAAACAGUGUCGCGUGAGUUGUAUGAGUACUAUUCUUACAAUUUUACAUACAGAAAUUACAUUAUUUAGUUUUAUUCUGAAUACAGCUUACAAAACUAAAACUUUAGAUAGAAAUAAUUUUCCGUUAGGGGUGUGUUAACUGGCUCAUUCAUUCCUGAGAGCCAUAUUUCUUUCUGACAGAUCGCUAACAAAGGAAUAUCAGAAUCGAUCAUUUGUUUACUGGUGACGUUCUUCGCUAUUUUCCUUGUUGUCUAUAGAUUAUAAUUUAUUUUUCGCCUUAUUUCGAUCAUUUAGCGAUCGAUUGAGGCUAUAUUUUACCGUUGCUUAGCAAUAUAUUAGCUCGCGAAGCAGUUGUUCGCGCACGCACGCGCUAGCUUGCAACGUAGUCGCGUGAACGGUCGACAGCUCACGUUACCGUAUUUGAUUCGCGAGUAGUUCUAUUGAGAAGAGAUGGCCGAAAUGUACAUUCGCGUCGCGGAGGAGGAGAAUGAGGAGCCGAUGGAGAUCCCGUCAGAGGACGACGGCACGGUGCUGCUGUCCACAGUGACCGCUCAGUUUCCAGGGGCCUGCGGCCUGCGAUACCGGAGCCCAGUGUCACAGUGCAUGAGGGGAGUGCGCUUAGUGGACGGAAUCCUGCACGCUCCUGAAAACGACUGGGGAAACCUGGUCUAUGUGGUCAAUUAUCCCAAAGAAACUGUCCUCCCAGAUAAUAAGAGAAAGAUGGAUGAAAUUGAUGCCUCAUCAGCAACAAAGAUCAAGAGAGGGGACCAGAAGACCUCGGAUCUGAUUGUUCUUGGUUUGCCAUGGAAAACUACAGAACAAGACCUAAAAGACUACUUCAGUACGUUUGGGGAAGUCAUCAUGGUGCAGGUUAAGCGGGACGUGAAGACUGGUAAUUCGAAAGGAUUUGGUUUUGUGAGGUUUGCCGAUUGGGAGACUCAGACCAAGGUGAUGACACAGAGGCACAUGAUUGAUGGCAGGUGGUGUGACUGCAAACUACCCAACUCAAAGCAAGGUCCCGAUGAGCCAAUGAGGAGCCGGAAAGUGUUUGUGGGUCGUUGCACAGAAGACAUAAGUGCUGAUGAGCUUCGUCAGUUCUUCAUGCAGUACGGGGAGGUCACAGAUGUCUUCAUUCCAAAACCCUUCAGAGCAUUCGCUUUCGUCACCUUUGCUGAUGACCAGGUUGCCGCGUCAUUGUGCGGAGAGGAUCUGAUCAUUAAAGGAGUUAGCGUGCACAUUUCCAAUGCUGAACCGAAACACAACAACACUAGGCAGAUGAUGGAGCGGGCAGGGCGCUUUGGGAACGGGUUUGGUGGUCAGGGUUUCGCAGGCAGCCGGAGUGCCAUGGGGGGUGGUAGCUCCAGCAGCUUGGGGAAUUUUGGCAAUUUCAACCUCAAUCCAGCUAUGAUGGCUGCGGCCCAGGCUGCCCUGCAGAGCAGUUGGGGCAUGAUGGGAAUGUUAGCUCAGCAGAAUCCAUCCACAACAUCUGGCACAAGCGGCACAAGUACCACUCGGGACCAGCCCCAAACAUACAGCUCGGCCAACAGCAACUACAGUAGCAACACAGCUGCUCUCGGGUGGGGCGCCGGCUCCAACUCUGGCACUAGUGCUAGUGGGUUUAACUCAAGCUUUGGUUCUAGUAUGGAUACAAAGUCAUCGGGGUGGGGUAUGUAAGUUGUGUUUUGAUUUUGAAGUGUUAUUUCUAGUGUGUUUGGUAAGUAUUUUUUUUAAAUACUUAUCUCGUCACGUGUGUUUGGGAUUGGGGAUGGGUAAAAUGAGGAGUCUGGGGACUUCAACAAAAACAGAAUGUUUUGUACAUUGAAUGCAUAUUAAUUUAGUCUAUGGAGUGACAUGUUAACCAGGGUGUUACGUUAAUGUACCAUCUUUGGUGUUAUGUUUUCCCCCCAAUGUUGUAUUGUCUUAGUUAAUGCACAAAGCAUUUCAACUGGAUUCUUAUAAUGCAUGUUGUUCAAUCUGAAUAUCUAAAAAUGCAUGAGAAUUGCAUAGUCUUAUGUACAUUUAUCAUUACUUUGGAAGAAAGAAACUUGCAUUCGAAAGAAUCUGGUUAGAAAUAUAUAAGUUCAGCUUUAUUGCAGUCCAGAUUUGUGGAGACACUUUAAAACAAGCCUUCAUCAAAAUCUCUUCUGCAGUUGACAUCUGUGGGGUUUGCCAGGGAAGAGCGCCCUCUAUGGCAGCACAGUGUGGCUGAGGUCAUUAGGUCACCUUCCUCCACAUGUCUGUAUGCUCUCAUCGCACAGCUCGAUGACACGGGGCCUGGAAUAUCGCUGGCCGCAACAGAACCCCAGGCGGGAAGUCCGUUUGGGGAUGGAGGAAGAUGGAGGAUGCUGUGGUACCCCAUUACAGCGAUAGCAUCUCUGGUAACGGCCAUGGACACUGUAGAAUGUAGCAGAAUUGAUAGAUGCCACAAGAUGGGCUGCCUUCUCAGAAUAAGUUUAAGCCUAAUGAAGAAUCAAGGUCCAUACUUUUCAAUUUCCAGUCCCUCUAAAGUAACCUUAAAAGGAAUAUUUCGGGUUCAAUACACGUUGAGCUCAAUCGACAGCAUUUGUGGCAUAAUAUUGAUUACCACACAAAAAAAUACAAAUGUACCUGUCCCUCCUUAAAAAAAAAAAUAAAGCAAAAAUCUGGGUUACAGUGAGGCACUUACAAUAGAAUUGAAUGGGGCACAUUUUUUAUGUACAAAUAUGGUUCAAAAGUAUAGCUUCAAGACAUAAAGGAUAUGUGUAAACAUGAUUUUAGUGUAAUAAAAAGUUAUAGCUAAUUUUACAACUUCAUUACCAUGACAAUGUCAACAAAACCCUAAUGACUAAAAAUUACAAUUUAAUCAACUUUACAGCUCAAAUACACAGAAUGUACCAUAAUGGAAGUGCUUUUAUAAAAUGUUAAGCUUCACAUUUCUGUUUAAACCCUCUUUCAUUGUAAGUGCCUGUAACCCAGAUUUUUGGCUUUUUUUUUUUUUUAAAGAAAAGGAGUGAUAAACUAAAUUUAGUUGUAAUCAACAUGCCACAAAUGUUGUCGAUUUGAGCUUAACUUGUAUUGAACCCGGAACAUUACAUUAAACGGCGAGUUUACAUGCAUACCAAUACGCAGCUAACUCCCAAAAAUAAGCUUAUUUAAAAAAAUAUGACAAAACCACCAUUACAUGAGAUUUGAAAUAAUCAGUUAUUCUCUGCUUUUGACGUCAAACCGUGAAGAGUCAUGUGCACAACACUUGGUGCAUUGGAUAAGUCAGUAAAGGUGUUUACACGCAAUGCGAAAUCGGGGUAAUGAGCAAAAAUCCAAGAGUCAGUUGGUUUAUUCUUAAGCACUGUAUACACUGUACACUGAUAAAAGAAAGCUGUUUAAUGCGUUUGCAUGACCACACACAUUGUCGGUUUAUUAAGCAUAAUCGGUGCAAAAAACAAAAAUGUUUAUUCCGAAACCGUGUUUACCGUUACAUGAGGCUUGAAAUUAUUAGAUUAUCUGCUUUUGAUGUUAAAAAGGGCCAGUGGUAGCUCAGCGGUUAAGGCUCUGGGUUGAGCAAGGCCCUUGAACCUAUCUGCUCCAGGGGCGCUGUUCCAAGGCUGACCCUGCGCUCUGACCCCAGCUUAGUUGGGAUAUGCUAAAACAACUGCAUUUCAUUGGCUCUGUACCUGUAUCUGCACAAUGACAAUAAAGUUGAAUCUUACUCUUAAAAUGUAAACAGUCUAGUGCAAAACACUUGCACACAUUGGGUAAAAGCCGAUAAGAAUGGCAGUUAAGGUGUUAAAAUGCAUCACAAAUCUCAUUUUAAGACAGAAAAUAAGAAUAUUUUAUAGUCUUGAAAAUACGUUUUUAUACUAUAUUGCAUUAAGUAACAUUCUUACAAACAUCUGAUAAUUUGUCAUUGGAACUUUUUAUUUCUUGUUAAUCUGGCCCCUGGUUACAAGAAAGCACAUUCAGACAUAGGUUUAAGUCAUUUUCAAGUCCAUGUCUUAAAUGUUUUAAUUAAAAUAUUUUUCACAGAACAAAUCUGCACUGCUUUAUGCAAAAAAAAAAAAAAAAAAUGUGUAUUAUUAUUUAUCAAAUUCCUUAUUACAUUAAAAUGUACAACCAGAUGAAUGUUUGAGUAAU